rnacentral:rRNA from 1 species
AGCUCCAAUAGCGUAUAUUAAAGUUGUUGCAGUUAGAACGCUCGUAGUCGGAUUUCGGGGCGGGUCGACCGGUCUGCCGAUGGGUACGCACUGGCCGACGCGUCCUUCCUUCCGGAGACCGUCUCACUCUUAACUGAGCGGAGGCGGGAGACGGAACGUUUACUUUGAAAAAUCAGAGUGUUUCAAGCAGGCAGCUCGCUCUUGCAUGGAUUAGCAUGGGAUAAUGAAAUAGGACUUUGGUGCUAUUUUGUUGGUUUCGAACACCGAAGUAAUGAUGAGAAGGGACAGUCAGGGGCACUCGUAUUCCGCCGAGAGAGGUGAAAUUCUCAGACCAGCGGAAGACGAACCACUGCGAAAGCAUUUGCCAGGGAUGUUUUCA